UCGAGUUUACUCAUGUUCCGAGUAAUAUUCUUGCAUCACUUCGUUCUUGUUAUAUGAAUGAAUAUGUAUAAAUGAGUUAGCUCUUAGGAGCCUUUGGUCUCUUAGGUUAGCGAGGAAAGCGUGAGGGAAGCGGGAACCGUGUUUGGGCCUGGCGAAAGCUUUUGCGCGACUGCCGCUUGGCUGGUUCGUUGAUGAUAAUUCAUGGUUGAAGCAUUGGAACUAAAUGAAGUUAGAAAUGGUUGAUUGCAACUCAUAAUUUUGCAAUUUUCUCUCAAGACGUAGAACAUGAACUAAGGACGAAACUUUCCCAAAGGUUCUUGUGGCUGCUGUAAUUGACAUUGCGUUAGGAUUUGGUACAGCACUGUUCAUAUAGUGUGACAUAGUGUGUGUCAGAAACAAGGCAACUUUUUAGACAUUUUUUACCAAAUGGGGUCAUCCUCCCAUUGGGAAAAGCUGAG